rnacentral:rRNA from 1 species
AUUGAACGCCGGCGGCAUGCCUAACACAUGCAAGUCGAACGGCAGCACGGCAGUAGCAAUACUGUGGGUGGCGAGUGGCGGACGGGUGAGGAAUACGUCGGAAUCUGCCCAGUCGUGGGGGAUAACUAGCCGAAAGGUUAGCUAAUACCGCAUACGACCGAGAGGUGAAAGCGGGGGACCGCAAGGCCUCGCGCGAUUGGAUGAGCCGACGUCGGAUUAGCUAGUUGGUGGGGUAAAGGGCCCACCAAGGCGACGAUCCGUAGCUGGUCUGAGAGGAUGAUCAGCCACACUGGAACUGAGACACGGUCCAGACUCCUACGGGAGGCAGCAGUGGGGGAAUAUUGGACAAUAGGGCGGCAAGACCUCGAUCCA